UUUUUUAUAGACUGGAUUUAUAUAUUUAUAACUAAAAUUAGGUUAAAUUUUUUUUUUAUAGAGUUAAAUAUUUAGAUUGAUGAAAGAUGUAUAAUAGUGACAGGGAUUAGAUACCCCAUUAAUGUACAUUGUAGCUUUGUCUUAGUUAAUAUAACUAAAAUAAUUUGGCAGUGAGCGACUCUUUUUAGGGGAAGGGGUGGUGUAAAGGAUGUUCCGCCAAAUAAUUUACUUUCGUUAUGUUGGUGUAUAUCUGGUUUAAUAUUAUCGUUGAGUAAGUGAGUUUGUGUAGUUUUAUUUAAGCCAAGUCUAUGUGCUGCUUAUGAAAGUAUUCAUGCGUUACAUUUAUAAGGUUUUGGUUGUAAUACUAAAAUAUUUAGGACUUAAAAGUAAUGUU
rnacentral:rRNA from 1 species